GAUGAUCCAUAUGAACCACCACUAAAUUGUGAGAUAGUACUGAAACAGAAGGGAGACAACUGUGCUUCUCCAUGUAACAUGGCUGAAACUGUAAUACGCUACUUGGAAGAGAAAGGGUAUCUGCGGGCCUAAUAAGCAAAAGAAUAAAAAAUAAAAAUUGGCUCCUGGUGAAAACUUUCAGCCCCUUCUUGUUGAAGCUUAUAUUCAACACAACAUAAAAUGCUGAGCUAAUGGAAAAUAAUUUGUUUUCAUUUGGCAAGGAAGCUUCUUCAUUUCUGUAUCAAGGAAAUUUCUUACUUCCUGCAUGUAGCAAUCAUGUCAUUUCUGGAGUAAUAAGGGGGGGUUUUAGUGUAUAGAUUGUAUUGUCAAGCAAUUUGGUAUUCAUGUUGAAAACUUUGAGUAAAUUAUCGGGGCUUGCACUGAAUUGUUGUAUUCAAACAAGGCUCAGAGCUUGUAGAUUUGUAUAUUUACUGCAAAUACCUAGAUUCGC
rnacentral:misc_RNA from 1 species